UACGUAGGGUGCGAGCGUUGUCCGGAAUUAUUGGGCGUAAAGAGCUCGUAGGCGGUUUGUUGCGUCGGCCGUGAAAACCUGCAGCUUAACUGUGGGCCUGCGGCCGAUACGGGCAGACUUGAGUUCGGUAGGGGAGACUGGAAUUCCUGGUGUAGCGGUGAAAUGCGCAGAUAUCGGGAAGAACACCUAGGGCGAAGGCAGCUCUCUGGGACGGUACUGACGCUGAGACGCGAAAGCGUGGGGAGCGAACAGG
rnacentral:rRNA from 1 species